rnacentral:rRNA from 1 species
GACCCGUCUUGAAACACGGACCAAGGAGUUGAACAUGUAGGCGAGUCAUUUGGUUGUAAUUGAAACCAAAAGGCGCAGUGAAAGCGAAAUUCGCCAAGAUCUGCUAGUCUACUGACUGGCAGCGCAUUGGCGACUCGUCACAUUGUCGUGUGCAAGUGGCGAAGUUUGAGCCUACACGUUCAGACCCGAAAGAUGGUGAACUAUGCUCGAGCAGGACGAAGCCAGAGGAAACUCUGGUGGAGGUCCGCAGCGAUUCUGACGUGCAAAUCGAUCGUCUGACUUGAGUAUAGGGGCGAAAGACUAAUCGAACCAUCUAGUAGCUGGUUCCCUCCGAAGUUUCCCUCAGGAUAGCUGGCACUCGAGGGCAGUUGUACUUCGAUAAAGCGAAUGAUUAGAGUGUUCUGGGUCGAAACGACCUAAACCUAUUCUCAAACUUUAAAUGGGUACGAUCUCGAGCUCACUUAACUGGAGCUUGAGUGUGAAUGUGUGCAGUGCCAAGUGGGCCACUUUUGGUAAGCAGAACUGGCGCUGUGGGAUGAACCAAACGUCUGGUUAAGGUGCCGAACACUGACGCUCAUGAGAAACCAUAAAAGGUGUUGGUUGAUAUAGACAGCAGGACGGUGGCCAUGGAAGUCGGAAUCCGCUAAGGAGUGUGU